rnacentral:rRNA from 1 species
UACGGGGGGGGCAAGCGUUGUUCGGAAUUACUGGGCGUAAAGGGCUCGUAGGCGGCCAACUAAGUCAGACGUGAAAUCCCCAGGCUCAACCUGGGAACUGCGUCUGAUACUGGAUGGCUUGAAUCCGGGAGAGGGAUGCGGAAUUCCAGGUGUAGCGGUGAAAUGCGUAGAUAUCUGGAGGAACACCGGUGGCGAAGGCAGCUCGCUGGGACGGUACUGACGCUGAGGCGCGAAAGCGUGGGGAGCAAACAGG